rnacentral:rRNA from 1 species
UGAAUACGAGAUGCUACGGCAUCGAAGCAGUCUAUGUCAUACUUCCAAGAAAAGCUUGCACUGUCAUAAACAAAUAAUGCCUGUACCAUAACCGACACAGGUGGGUAGGUAGAGUAUACUAAGGGGCGCGAGAUAACUCUCUCUAAGGAACUCGGCAAAAUGACUCCGUAACUUCGGGAGAAGGAGUGCCUUAUUUUAUAAGGUUGCAAUAACAAGAUCCAAGCAACUGUUUACCAAAAACACAGGUCUCCGCUAAGUCGUAAGACGAUGUAUGGGGGCUGACGCCUGCCCAGUGCCAGAAGGUUAAAGAAGUUGGUUAGCAUUAGCGAAGCUGAUAACUGAAGCCCUGGUGAACGGCGGCCGUAACGAUAACGGUCCUAAGGUAGCGAAAUUCCUUGUCGGGUAAGUUCCGACCCGCACGAAAGGCGUAAUGAUUUGGAUACUGUCUCGGAGAGGGGCUCGGUGAAAUAGACUUGUCUGUGAAGAUGCGGACUACCUGCACCAGGACAGAAAGACCCUAUGAAGCUUUACUGUAACUUGAGAUUGAAAUUGGACUUUAUUUGCGCAGUAUAGGUGGGAGACGUUGAAAAUAUUCUUGCGGGAAUAUUGGAGUCAUCAGUGAGAUACCACUCUUAUAAUGUUAGAUUUCUAACUUUGUAUCAUUAUCUGGUCAAAGAACAGUCUCAGGCGGGCAGUUUGACUGGGGCGGUCGCCUCCCAAACGGUAACGGAGGCGCACAAAGGUUUCCUCUGAACGUGUAGAAAUCGUAUCUAGAGUGUAAAGGCAUAAGGAAGCUUGACUGUGAGACCUACAAGUCGAGCAGGGACGAAAGUCGGUCUUAGUGAUCUGACGGUGCUGAGUGGAAAGGCCGUCACUCAACGGAUAAAAGUUACUCUAAGGAUAACAGGCUGAUCUCCCCCAAGAGUUCACAUCGACGGGGAGGUUUGGCACCUCGAUGUCGGCUCAUCGCAUACUGGGGCGGUAGUACGUCCCAAGGGUUGGGCUGUUCGCCCAUGAAAGCGGUACGCGAGCUGGGUUCAGAACGUCGUGAGACAGUUCGGUCCAUAUCCGGUGUAGGCGUUAGAAUAUUGAGAGGAGCCUUCUUUAGUACGAGAGGACCGAGAAGGACAUACCUCUGGUGUACCAGUUAUCGUGCCAACGGUAAACGCUGGGUAGCUAUGUAUGGAGAGGAUAACCGCUGAAAGCAUCUAAGUGGGAAGCCCACCUCAAGAUAAGUAUUCUC